rnacentral:rRNA from 1 species
CCCUUAGAUGUUCUGGGCCGCACGCGCGCUACACUGAUGCAUUCAACAAGCCUAGCCUUGACCGAGAGGUCCGGGUAAUCUUUGAAACUGCAUCGUGAUGGGGCUAGAUUAUUGCAAUUAUUAAUCUUCAACGAGGAAUGCCUAGUAAGCGUGAUUCAUCAAAUCGCGUUGAUUACGUCCCUGCCCUUUGUACACACCGCCCGUCGCUCCUACCGAUUGAAUGUGUUGGUGAGGAGCUCGGAUUGGCAGCAGUCGGUGGUUCGCCACCGGCUAUUGCUGAGAAGUCCUCCAAACCGCCCCAUUUAGAGGAAGGAGAAGUCGUAACA